CAGUCGCCGCGGGAAUACGUAGGGUGCGAGCGUUAAUCGGAAUUACUGGGCGUAAAGCGUGCGCAGGCGGUUCGUUAAGACAGGCGUGAAAUCCCCGGGCUCAACCUGGGAACUGCGUUCUGAACUGGGUGACUAGAGUGUGUCAGAGGGAGGUAGAAUUCCACGUGUAGCAGUGAAAUGCGUAGAGAUGUGGAGGAAUACCGAUGGCGAAGGCAGCCUCCUGGGAUAACACUGACGUUCAUGCCCGAAAGCGUGGGUAGCAAACAGGAUUAGAUACCCGCGUAGUCCCUGUCUCUUAUAC
rnacentral:rRNA from 1 species